GGUGGUUCAGUGGCAGAGUGCCCGCCUAGUAUGUGUGAGGCACUGGGUUCAAUCCUCAGCACCA
rnacentral:tRNA from 1 species